UGUUAAACAUUCGUAAGAGUAUAUGGUGGAUACCUUGGCUAGUUAGGCCGAAGAAGGACGUUGCAGGGUGCGAAAAGUCUCGGUGAGGUCCCAAGCAACCUUUGAUCCGGGAAUGUCCGAAUGGGGAAACCCACCCCGCCUUUGGCGGGGAGAUUCACUUACUUUGUAAGUGGGUCGGUAACCUGGGGAACUGAAACAUCUUAGUACCCAGAGGAAAAGAAAAUAAGCCCCGCCUUUGGCGGGGAACAUUCUCCUAGUAGCGGCGAGCGAACGGGGAAGAGUCUAAACCGUUUUGAAAUUUGAGUUUUAGGUGUCUACACUUUUGUGUAGACCACUGUCAAUGUCC
rnacentral:rRNA from 1 species